GGGAUUUGUGUCACAGUUCCGUCGUGAUUGCGCUGCUAAACCAUGACGUCACGCACUGUAUCAGACUGUAUGCAGAACGUUUCGCUGAGCGCGUGGUCUGAGCACAUGGAAAAGAGGUCGAGAUUUAGCAUCAUGCGAAAGUGUUAUUACCACAUUGAAGACAUUUCCAUCCUGAAAUGGAAUAUCAGUGUCCACGUAAGAAGUGGGACAAUCCGAAGAAAGGGGUGAUUGAACUGCAUUGGAAAAUGAGGGCCCAGCAUCUUGUCAAACCCCGGGCUGCACGGGACAACACAAAACAAAAGAACGGAAACGGAGAGGUGUUUUGCGGGGAACGAGGGAUUUUCUGACCUCAGACGAAGCCACGGGAGAGAAAGAAAAAGUCUCAGACCCGCCUUCAGCGAAGCGGGAUGGAAAACUUUAAGAAGAUUUGCUGCCUUGAAAAGAGUCGCCGCGCAUAAUUAACAUGCCAGCUGGUAAAGAGCCCUAGAGAAGAAGGAGAGAAUCUAAGAUGUUGAAGAACUUGUCUGAAUUUGGCUAAACCCCUGACUCUUAAUGAAGCUACGAAUGGUGGGGCUACAUUGCUUGUAGUCUGCUGAGGGAUUGGCCAUUAUUUAGGUGGUUUUGAAAUCCAGUAGCAGCAGGGACUGUAACACACAGCCGACCCUACUCUGUGACCGUAUUCCUCGAAGACACGGAGAGAGACGGAGAGAGGGAAGGCAAAAAGCUAGCAAUGGCUGUGUGUGGCAAAAUGACUAAUGACAAGCGAGCUCUUCAGACGCUGCCUGUGAUCUCCUGCCAGGUUUCCUUUAGGAUCAGAAAGGCACACGGAGAGGGAGUGUCUCGGCCUUUCACUCUUUCACGGUGACUCAUGACACGAGAUGAACCCCCGGCAGCCGACAGAUGUAAAUGGAAGGAAAAGACAUUAAAAUGGAACCGCUUUGCCCUGUCGUCCGGGUUCACGAAGCUGUGAGUCACGCCGCAGAUUGUAAACAGUGGGUUUCUUUUGCACUCUUUUGCACCUCAAGCCAAAAACGCAUUUCCUGGAGCUCUCGAAUGAAGGGCGGCCCUGCGAGGAGGUAACGUGAUGAGGCUAGGAACCUGUGGCUCACAUGCACGAGCGUGCGUACGCUGUGGUUUCGACGAGCUGGAUCUCUGACAGGAAAUGUGGGCCAUUAUGCAAGUAGUUUGUAAGGUAGCUUCGAUAAAAGGUGCCAGUUCCUAUGGUGUUUCUAUAAGUUGCACGGAAAACUAAACACGCUGCUAAGGCGUAUUUAAAUGUUAUACCAGCUAUAUUAUAUGUUACACCUCUGCUAAAAGACAACAGUGAGAUUGUAUUUUAUUGUCACUCUUAUUUGGUGAAUGCACAUAAAAUGCAUAUGUUUAGUUUAGCUCCUUCAGUGGUCCUCCUUCUGCCAUUAUAACUGUUUUACAGGAUGUCAAAAAGGAGCUAACAUUCCACAAUAUCCAAUAAAUGGCUUUUUAAUGGGCUUUGCAAGUAUUGCGGACAAAUAAAGGACAAUUAGCCUGCACUUAGUGAUGAUGACCCAGAGUUAGUGGGGCUGUAGUGACAUGAAAAUAGCUUUGAAAUUUGACAGUUAUGUGAAAUUACAUAUUAAGAAAAUUAUAUAACGUCAGUUUUAAGAAUAUGAAUCCUUCAUUGGUUUGAGUUGUAUACUUACAGAAGCCUUAUUUUUGGAACAGGCUGUUCUUUUUUGUAGCUGGUAUCCUUUAGUGUCAGUUACCAAGACACAAACUAGCUGUGAUCCAGAUUCCAGAGCUCAUUACAAACUCAUAACGUUCAUUGUUUAUUUAUUACAGAAACUAUAGCUUUAAUUGAAAUGUUUGCAUUUGCUGAAAGCCUCAACAGGCAGGAAAUAAAACUGAUCUGCCCUAAAGCUAAA